UACGAAGGGGGCUAGCGUUGCUCGGAAUCACUGGGCGUAAAGCGCACGUAGGCGGAUUGUUAAGUCGGGGGUGAAAUCCUGGAGCUCAACUCCAGAACUGCCUUUGAUACUGGCGAUCUCGAGUCCGGGAGAGGUGAGUGGAACUGCGAGUGUAGAGGUGAAAUUCGUAGAUAUUCGCAAGAACACCAGUGGCGAAGGCGGGUCUCUGGACAGUUCCUGACGCUGAGGCACGAAGGUCAGGGGAGCAAACGGG
rnacentral:rRNA from 1 species